UCCUCUCGUACACCGAAGUUUUCAUUCGCAUGGUCGCCCAUGGUGUAGAUACCGUGUGUGCUGCUAGCACCAUUCUCCUCCAUCGGUAGGAGCUCAUAGUUACCGUUGACAGGGUAACAAAAGGUGAAAAUGUUUUGCGGGCUACCACUAGUAACAUGGGUCCCCUCCCUCCGUUGGCUCAUAUGCAUUUCCACGGCGAGAUGAAUAUAAAGAUGUGUUACCUGUUUCAUGGUCUUUGAAGGGAACAAUGCAUGGAGAGAAUUCAUGAUGUAGUUGUGCUUCUUGUUCUUGUCAUCGUUAUCGUCGUACAUGAUUUUGUUGGUGUUGAGCCUAGCAAUGAGUGAUCAUGCCUCCUCUACCUCGGAUGAGGUCCACCCCUAGUUGACUAUUGGAUCCAUGAGAAAGUGGGUAGUUGAACGCUAUAGAAUUAUGAGGAGUAUGAACUAUGAAGAUGGGUUAUAGCUUGGGGAUGGAGACUGGGGAGUAAGAUAGUGUAUUUAUAGCCUCUUGUGUGCAGUCCUACUUUCGCUAAUUAAUUUGGCUCAUUUAUAGUUUUUCAGUCCAUACUAAAGUAGAUUGAACAAUAGUUAAGAUAAUUAAUUCUUAUGAUCCUCUGAGGAACAUGCCAAACUAUUUUAAGUUGACCUCGACAUUGUGUCUUUCUUUGAAAAAAUAUUUUCUUAUUUUGCCAAUGCAAAUAAUUGCCACGGGCCUCCAAAUAUACGCAAGAAGAUUGCUAGAAACAACACAAGCAGGCCUAUAGAGUAUUGAUCAAUUUCGGUGUAGAUAGAUAGGACACACAUCGUGUGCACAUGCGUGACAUGUGUUCUCAUCUUAGAGUGCAAGACCCAAACCAUGGUCUGCCGCACUCAAAUAUGCAAUGCACACAUGAUCUAAUUCGGUUUUGGCUACUAGUGACACAUACAUCAAUGGUGUUUUGCGUACACAUUGCAAAUAAUUGAGAUGACAAACACUUAUUUUUAGCAUGACAAACACUAUUAAGAUGAUGAGACUAUCACAGGUGAAAUAUUAUAUAUAUAUAUAUAGAAACAGAGCUAUUUAUUCACUUAUUAAACACACAUCCCGGCUAUAAUGUCUUGUUGCCAUCUUUAGGAGGACAGUCCGUUUAUUCAUGGGACACAUGCCUAGCUAGCAUUCCAAACAUGGCCCAAGCCUACGAUCUACUACAUCUUGUUCAUACAUUGCCAAGAUAAAAAUAAGCUGACCCUUGUUGGCCAUCAGGCACAUAGUUUCCUACCCCGCCCAUUACAGGUGCAGUAGAACCCAUCAUCUGCUGCUCACGCCACAUUGGCUGCUGGCCCACUUGUUGAUUAUAUAUGGAAGGGGAGCACUGAGCUAGGUUGUUCAUGACUGUGAACGAGCUCGUCGGAGCCUGCAACCUAAAGCUUGGGUCAUUGUUGAGGCUGGUGAAAGAAAGGGUUUGCCCAGGGGCAGAACUAUUAUUUGCUGCCAAUAGCUCGUUGUCAUGGAGCCUGACAUCAUUGAUGCUGUAACGCUUUGUCCUUGACGAUGCCUUUUUCUCUAUUCUCUUGAAAUACUUUUGUGCAUGGCUUGAAACUUGGACAGGGUCUUAGUGGUGACGAAGUGCUUGGAUAUGUUUUUCCAGUCGCCACGGCCAUAGACUUCCAGCCCAUAAAGAAAUGACCUGUGGACAUAAUGUUCAAAAGAAUUUUUAGGUUAAAUUGUUUACUCAAAGAUGAAUUGUGCGACCGUUUUACUGAAACAACCAAAACAUAUUACAAAUUCAAAAGUAUCAUACCUCUAUUUUUCUAUAGUGAAACGACAAUCAUUACAGGUUAUUGAUCUCUUUGAUUGCGACAAGACAUACCAUAUUGGAAUUUAAUGGGCUAUUUUACUGCCUUUCUAUUUUUUAAUCAAGAUCCAAUUACAUAAAAAAUGUAAGCCAAAAAGAAAAGUAAGAAAGAAAGUUCAUCAAUAUCUAAUUUGCAGGGAUCAGUAUUUAUCAAAAAUGUAAACUGUAAACGUCCAGAUGUACAUUUUGUAAAGUGCAAUAUCAAUUUGACAUAUGUGCCUCAUAUAAUUAAUUCGCAAAGCUUAAUUAUCAUAUGUUGAUUUUAAAUAAAGAACAACUAAAACUACAUGACAAGGAAGAAUAUAGGUAUCGACUAACUUGUGUUCCUCUUUGGUCCAAAACUUUCGUUGAUGUGCGGCAACAGCUGGUCGAUCAAAGGAAGUAUUGUUCUCCAAGACCCCCAUCUUGUUCUUGUCUACCAUCAUCGGAGCCUCCUCCGUCUUCCUGAUUCUAGUAUCCUCCAGUGCGCAACGAAAUGAAAAUCCACUAUCAUCCAUGGUUGUACCCUCAUCCUCUCGUACCUCAAAGUUUUCAUUAACAAGGCCGCCCAUUGUAAAUGGAAAUUGACAGUGUCCAAUGUACAUUUAGUAAAGUAAAAUAUCAUCACAAACAUAAGCUAUUGAUGUCACAUAAUAAAUAUGCACAACAUUCUUAAUUGGUAUAUGUUCACUGAAAACAAACAACAAUUAAAACUACAUGACAAAGGAGAGUAUACAACCAUGGACGAACCUGUGUUCCUCGUCGGUCCAAAAACCCCAUUGAUGUGGGGCAACAACUGGUUGGUCUAUGGAAAUAUUGUUCUCCAACAUCUUCAUCUUGUUAUUGUCUGCCAUCAGCGGUGCCUCACCCGUCACCGUUAUCCCCGUAUUCUCCAUUGCACAACCAAAGGACAAUCCAUUAUUGUCCAUGAUUGUUGCCUCCUCUCAUACACCGAAGUUUUCAUUCGCAUGGUCACCCAUGGUGUAGAUACCGUGUGUGCUGCUAGCACCAUUCUCCUCCAUCGGUAGCUCAUAGUUACCGUUGACAGGGUCACAAAAGGUGAAAAUGUUUUGCGGGCUACCACUAGUAACAUGGGUCCCCUCCCUCCGUUGGCUCAUAUGCAUUUCCACGGCGAUAUCAAUAUAAAGAU
rnacentral:lncRNA from 1 species